UACGGAAGGCAGCAGUGGGGAAUAUUGCACAAUGGGCGCAAGCCUGAUGCAGCCAUGCCGCGUGUAUGAAGAAGGCCUUCGGGUUGUAAAGUACUUUCAGCGGGGAGGAAGGCGAUGUGGUUAAUAACCGCGUCGAUUGACGUUACCCGCAGAAGAAGCACCGGCUAACUCCGUGCCAGCAGCCGCGGUAAUACGGAGGGUGCAAGCGUUAAUCGGAAUUACUGGGCGUAAAGCGCACGCAGGCGGUCUGUUAAGUCAGAUGUGAAAUCCCCGGGCUUAACCUGGGAACUGCAUUUUGAAACUGGCAGGCUUGAGUCUCGUAGAGGGGGUAGAAUUCCAGGUGUAGCGGUGAAAUGCGUAGAGAUCUGGAGGAAUACCGGUGGCGAAGGCGGCCCCUGGGACGAAGACUGACGCUCAGGUGCGAAAGCGUGGGGAGCAAACAGGAUUAGGAUACC
rnacentral:rRNA from 1 species